CAGAGCUGUGGAGUGUGACAAUGGUGUUUGUGUCCAAUAUAUCAAACGCCAUUAUCACACUAAAUAGCUACUG
rnacentral:pre_miRNA from 1 species